GAACUUUCUCUAUAUGAACUAAUACUUGUUUCUGUAUUAUAUUUUGGAGCAAUGCGUGGUCAAGGAAGUUUGUUAGAUUUAGUUUAACCCGUUAUAGUUACUUCGAUAUAAGUUAAUUGCUCCGAUUGACCGAAACCCUCAAGAUACAACAGUAUGUUUGCUAAUGGGUAAUUUCUUGAAUCAUUUUGCUAGUGGAGUUUGCGAUGAGUUCUACCUAUGUGAGUUUGUUGGUCUUAAUCCGAAUAAAGGAGUAAGGGUUAGUAGAGGUGGCUGGUUUAGUGGUUGAAUCAAGGUAGCGGACCAUAUUAUACGAACAUAAGGUAAGAGUGUCAGAUAAUGGUGAAUAUCAAAGUGUUUGAACUCACAGAAGCCUUUAAAUUUAUUAUGCAUUUAGAUUUAUGAAAUGUUGGAUGGAGGUGUGGGACAGAAAAAGUAUGCUGCAUUUACUUGAAUCUAUUAUAUAUAAUCGUUACUCUUGCAUUGUCAAUUCAUCAACUGCACCACAUUGUCAUUAAAAAUGUUCAACGUUGUCUCUUCCAUAUUUUUUGGGUCUAAACCAAAACAAACUUAUUCCUUCUACUCCCAUCGAAGUUUCUAGUUGUUUGGUAAGUGGAGAACCCAAUUUAGGUUUGCUCAAUCUGGUCGAGAACCUAUUAGCACACAUUUGUCACGUAUGGUUUGUAAUAGUUUCACCAGCCAAAUAAAAGGGUCUCUUUGACCAAGGAAGCUCAUUAUAUUUAAUCGCCCCUCCUCUUCAGUUAUUUGGAUAAAAGUUAAUAACUCUAAUUAACCUAAUCCCUCAAGAUACAAUAUUAUAUAUGCUAAUGGACAAUUUCUUGUCUUUUUUGCUGGUGGAGGUGGCAAUGAACUCUAUCUAUGUGAGUAUGUCUGUCAGUUUUAAAUCCGGAAAAAGGAGGAAGUGUAGUAGUUUGAAGGCCAGCAUAAACUAUCCCAACUGAAAUUGAAUUUGUUGAGAGCUGCCUACCAGGCAAGCGCCUGAACUGAGUAGAAUGGAUAUAAACUGAUGCAUAUAGUCGACCUCGACUAAUUUAGAUUUGAGGCAUAGUUGAUUGAUAUAUCACUAUGUAGCCGAUUUGAUAGAUUAGUUGAUGUGGCUACUCAUGUAGCAGCUAAUGCGGAUUAAUGACGUGACUACCAAUAGUCUAAUGUUACUCCUGCACAAAUACCUGUGUACGGGCAGGGCCAUUGCUGGACCCUGACAUUCUAGCCAUUUUUGUGGGGUGAGGGAGGAGUGGGAAUAGAUAGAUUUCAGUCGGUCAAACAAUACAAGUCGGAGAACGCCCCUGCAAGAAUUACAUUGAAUCCGUGAUGGAUGGCUUUAGUCAAUGUUCGCGAGGCGAAAACCCUUGGGUCUAGGAUUCUAAAGUGUGGAGCCAUUGUCGAUGAGGUGAAAAUCGUAGGUUGGGGAUCCUAAAUGCUUUUCUGACGCCUUGUGAGGAGAUAAGUUAGCAAUCAUAACUUUUAUGAGAGAGCAUGCUCGUAGACCUUGUGUAUCUACGGUCUCGCUGUGAUUUAUUACAACAAGUCCUUGUCCAUUGGAAAUUUCAUAAUCUAUGUACGCCAUUAACCGAAGGUAAAGGCUGGUGGGGAGGAUUUAAAGCUUGUAAUAGAGAGGGCGAUAGUAUAGAGAUCAGUCAUCUUCUCUUUGCAGUCAUUGUUUUUUUGUGAUGCUGAAGCAGAUCAACUAAAACACCUAAGACGUAUUCAGAUCAUCUUUGAAGCAGAUUUUGGGCUUCAUGUUAAUUGGAGAAAGAGUGUUAUUCCCAGUUAAAGAGGUUAAUAUCCAGGUUCUAGCAACAUCUUUGGGCUGUGAGUUGCGCUCACUACCAACUACUUAUCUGGGGUUGUCCCUGGGCUCCAAAAAUAAAGCUCACGAUAUCUGGAUUGGGGUACUUGAAAGAUGUGAAAAGAGAUUAGCAAUCUGGACGAGCUAUUUAUCUGUUGAAGGAAGAGUGAUAUUGGUGUUAACAAAGUAAGAAAACAUUUUUUCUGGCAAGAUAACAAAGACAAGAAAGGUUACAAUGUAGUGAAGUGGACAGUCAGCAGGCAACAUGGUGGCAUGGAAAUUAAGAAUCUCAGACUUACAGAAAUGGCUGUGGAGGUUUUGCAAGGAAGACAGGUCUCUCUGGAAGAAAUACAGAGCACAGAAAUAUGGUUUGAUGAAUCAGUGGACAACAAAUGAAGUGAAUGCUACUUAUGGAAGCAGUGUGUGGAAGACUAUUAGAAGAAUGUGGAAUGAAUGCAGUGAAAAUUUGAGCAUAAAGGAGGUGGGUGAUGGGACAAAAACUUCUUUCAUCAGAACUUUAUUCCAGGGUUUACACAUUAUCAUUCUCUAAAAGAAUGACAAAGUAUCUCAAAUGGGGACAGAACAAGGAUGUGAUCUUUUGUUUAGAAGGGAACUAAAUGAUUGGGAAAUAGGGAGAGUCACAGAUUUGCUUUUGUUGCUUAAUUCCUUUACAGGAACCACUAAUGCUCCAGAUAAACCAGUUUGGAAACUAUGCAGCAAAGGGAUUUUCACUGUUAAAUAGCAUACUGGGAGAAGAACAAGGUUGUAAAUCCAUCCUUGGCUUGGCAUGGAAACUUAUUUGGAAAGUUAAAAUUCUAAAUAAGGUUUCUGCUUUUGUUUGGUUAGUUUUGAGGAAGGUUUGUCUAACACAAGAGGCUUUACAAAGAAGAGGUCUACAGAUAUGCUCAAGAUGCCUGUUUUGUGGGAAAGAUGCAGGAACUAAUGAGCAUCUAUUUCUACAUUGUCAGAUAACUGCACGCGUUAUUUUCUAUCCUAAGGGUGAAUUGGGUUUUACCAAGAUCAACUUUAGAACUUCUGUGUAACUGUAAAGAAACCGGAAGAAGGGAGGCAGAGGAGGAUUGGUGGCAGUCCAUUUCAGCUUGUAUGUGGUGGACAGUCUGGAAGGACAGGAACUCAAGACAAUUUGAAGAUAGAGUUAGUCCCUUUCAGACAGUGAAAAUGAAAUGUCUUAGUCUCUUUGUUUUUGGUGUAAUCAAGAUAUACUGGGGGAGUAGGAGAUUUGGUAGAUUUUCUAGGCAAUUUGUAAAUUGUAAUUGGCAUCUUUACUCUAUGGCCACUGUCUGUGGUUUUCACUUGUAAAAUCCCAUCAGCAUCCCCAAAUGCUGAUGUUUUUGGAAUGAAUACAAAUGUUACCUUAUUCAAAAAAAGAAAAAAGAGUGAUAUUGAUGAACAAUGUACUUGAUACACUUCGUACCUAUGUCAUGCCUUUGUUCCCUUUACCUUGCUACACAACCAAAGCUUACUUAUGAAAUGCUAGAGAGGUAUAACCUGGUGGUUAAUGCCUUUGUGGAGAAAGUCAUCUGUGAGGAGUAUGUGACAAGUAUGGUCAGCAUGGACAUUGUUGCUCAAGAAUUGUCAACGGUCCUUAUGGGUUUGGGGUUUGGAAAUCUAGCAGACUCUACUGGAAUUCAUUGGCUGCUACUACCACUAUAAGGGUGGGAAGUGAAAAGACAACACGGUUUUAGAGUGACAACUGGUUAAGACAUGGUUCUCUUAAAGAUUUGUUUCCAGAUUUUUUCAGCAUUGCAUCACUACUGGAAGCAAAACUAAAAGCAGUUUAGGGACAUUAAAGAUGUAAUAUUUUACUUUCAGAAGAUGCUUGAAUGAUUGCGAACUUGAGAGAGUUGUUGAUUUCUUCAAGACUUUGGAAAUUUCUCAAGGUCUCAAAGAUGCAGAGGAUACAUUGAAUUGGAAUGCCUGCUGAAUGAGACUUUCACUGAUAACUCUGCUUACCUUCUGAUAUAUCCCGGCCCAACACUUACGAUGUGCAACUCUUACAAGAUGAUAUCAAGGCAAAUGACCGCUAUAAUAGGUCAAGAAUGAAGGUCAGUUUUGCAAUUAACCAUAUAGCAUAAAUGGCCAAACGGGCCUUGAUUUUAAUUGCAAAACUGGCCUUCAUUCUUGACCACUUAUAACACUUCGCCUUGAUGUCUUCUUGUAAGGGUUUCAUAGUGUGAGUGCUAGGCCGGGAUAUAUCAUCUCCUAUUAUCUAACUCUGGUCAACGUAUAGAAGAAUGGCCAUGGAGGUAUGUUUGGAAAGUCAAGGUCCCUUUCGAGGUGGUUUGUUGUUCAUGAUUAGUGGCAAUAGAAGCUUGUCUAACUCAAGAAACUUGAGAAGAAGGGAUUUCAACUAUGUUCUAGAAGUUCCUUGUGUGGUGCAGUAUUGGAAAGCAACAGUCGUGUGUUCCUACAUUGUCUUCUUACUGAUCAGCUGUGGCAACUUUUCCUCAGCAUUGGGGGACUUAGAUGGUCUAUGCCAACAGCCAGUUACAGUUUGCUGCAGUGUUGGGAUUACAUUUGGGUUCAGUGCCACAGUAGAAAUGGAGAUCAGUCCCUGCUUUCAUAUGGUGGACAGUUUGAAAUGAGGGAAAUGCUAGAGUGUUUAAAGACAAAUACAAUCCUUUGGAGAAAGUUAGGAUGAACUGUAUACUUUUGUUUCAUUUUUGGUGUAAAGAAAGCUAGGUAGAGGAGGUAGAAUCUCUAGUAGACGUGCUUGGUUCACUGAGAAUUUAGUCUGAUAUAGCAUGGUUUUUGCUAUCUUGUAAAUACGCCCCUGCAAUGCCUUAGUGUUUUUUUUU